GUCUACGGCCAUGCCACCCUGAAUGUGCCUGAUCUUGUUUAAUCUCGGAAGCUCAGCAGGGUCGGGCCUUGUUAGUACUUGGAUGGGAGACCACCUCGGAAUACCAGAUACUGCAGGCG
rnacentral:rRNA from 1 species